rnacentral:rRNA from 1 species
CCUACGGGAGGCUGCAGUGGGGAAUAUUGCGCAAUGGGCGAAAGCCUGACGCAGCGACGCCGCGUGAGUGAUGAAGGUCUUCGGAUCGUAAACCUCUGUCAGCAGGGAAGAACGGUCACUGUGCUAAUCAGCAGUGAAUUGACGGUACCUGCAAAGGAAGCACCGGCUAACUCCGUGCCAGCAGCCGCGGUAAUACGGAGGGUGCGAGCGUUAAUCGGAAUUACUGGGCGUAAAGCGCUCGUAGGCGGUAUGUCAAGUCAAGGGUGAAAUCCCCGCGCUCAACGUGGGAACUGCCUUUGAAACUGGUAAACUGGAGUGUGUGAGAGGAUAGUGGAAUUCCAGGUGUAGGAGUGAAAUGCGUAGAUAUCUGGAGGAACAUCAGUGGCGAAGGCGACUAUCUGGCACAUAACUGACGCUGAGGAGCGAAAGCGUGGGUAGCAAACAGGAUUAGAUACCCCAGUAGUC